CCACAUUUGGAACUAAUCAUCUGUUUGCUGGCAUGAAGUGUGGGUGCAAGGGAUGCUGCCAAAAGACAGAAAAAGAAAUGUGAAGAAAAACUGUGGAACACAUGUACCAAGAACAAGGAAGCAUUUUGCAAGGAACAAUUCUGUGAUACCUCCCGGAACUAGAUGAUCAUUCUGAAAGAAUAUUUCCGUCUUUAAUUUCAAGGAUGCUUUAAUAAUGGGACUGAUUUAAGCAGCUAAAUUUGGAAAACUGAAAAUUCAAGAAGACUGUCUAUCACAUGUUCCUGUUUACAUGAAUAUUUUUAAAUACUGAAGAAUCUUUUUACCAGGGCUGAUUUUGUAUUU